CACAUGAUUCUUCCCCCUUCCAUGAUUCCAGUGGCCAAUAGGAAUUCUAAUUGGAACAGACAAAAACCCAAUACAUGUUUAAGCAGUAAAGUAUUCAUCAGGUCACAAAAAGAGGAGCAAAAGGAGCUGACUCUUUAUGUCAUACCUCGGCCUUAUAAUUUGAUUCUUUGCCAACAUGCACAGUUUUUUUCCAUAGGCUGUGCAUUGGGACAAACUACAAUAAAGCCAUGCCCUGACUGGAUGUGCCUAACAUUUGUCUGGUGCUUAAAGGAGUUGGCUGCAUGCAUGGGAUGGAGAAGGAUUCAACAUUUAAUGGCAGUUAGAAUCAAAUUUUUAACGCAAGAAGGCAGAAGGAAUCCACCGAAAUAAAUGUUGGAAAGUCACCAAAAAUAGUUCUCCAAGUCAGAAGCGGUGCAAAAGCUGCCUCAGCUCUUGGUGGAUUUUCAAUUUCUCCCAGCCAUCUCUGUUUCUCUAAAGGUUUCUGAAGACAGUGGGUAUGUGGCAAAAUUCUGCAAUUCUAUAUUAAGAUAAACUGUUAGAUCAAUUA
rnacentral:lncRNA from 1 species